UACGUAGGGUGCUAACGUUGUUCGGAAUCACUGGGCAUAAAGAGCGCGUAGGCGGUCUGAUAAGUCAGGUGUGAAAUCCCCCGGCUCAACCGGGGAACUGCACCUGAUACUGUUGGGCUUGAGUGCAGGAGGGGAGAGCGGAAUUCCUGGUGGAGCGGUGAAAUGCGUAGAUAUCAGGAGGAACGCCGGCGGCGAAAGCGGCUCUCUGGCCUGUCUACUGACGCUGAGGCGCGAAAGCUAGGGGAGCAAACGGG
rnacentral:rRNA from 1 species